AGACCGUGAUUAGGACACUCUAAUAUAAGUUCUUUAAAACGUUCCAUACAUCAAGAGAAUGAUUCAUUUGGUUUUUGACAAAACUGGAGAAUGUCAUUCCUAAGCUU
rnacentral:snoRNA from 1 species